UAGGACCUAAUUUCAAAGAGUAGUGAAGUGCAGGAAGGAGAGGAAAAUUCAUAGUUUAAAUAGUUUUAAAAAAUUGUAGAGUUGCACACAAGGGUAAUCGGCAAAGGGACAAAUAGAUCGCAUAAAUAUCAUCAAGGGACACAAAGAUUUAUGCAAGCUCACUAAGCAUGAGUACACAAAAUCAAAAGAGUUUUAAGAGACCCUGAAAUAGUUGGAUUUAGACACAAAAGUAUAUAGUAAAAGAAUAUAGUCAUAACAUGCAAGGUAAUGAGCAAACACUGGUCAUGAGCAUGCAAGUGUUAACAUGCAACCAAGGAGUUAAUUACAUGUUGCACGACAGAAGCAUAAGUAGAAAACAAUUAGGAAUAUAACAUACUCAAAGAGUAAUAACCACAUUGGUUUUGGAACUUUGAAAUUAAUCAGAACAUACCAGUAAUAAGAGAACACAAUAGAAUGCAAGAUCCAAGUAUAAGCACAAUAUUAGCCUUAGCUUUUUAGCUGGCUAAUAACAGUC
rnacentral:lncRNA from 1 species